UGGGGAAUAUUGGACAAUGGGCGCAAGCCUGAUCCAGCCAUGCCGCGUGAGUGAUGAAGGCCCUAGGGUUGUAAAGCUCUUUCACUGGUGAAGAUAAUGACGGUAACCGGAGAAGAAGCCCCGGCUAACUUCGUGCCAGCAGCCGCGGUAAUACGAAGGGGGCUAGCGUUGUUCGGAUUUACUGGGCGUAAAGCGUACGUAGGCGGACUUUUAAGUCAGGGGUGAAAUCCCGGGGCUCAACCCCGGAACUGCCUUUGAUACUGGAAGUCUUGGAUCUGGUAUAGGUGGGUGGAAUUCCGUGUGUAGCGGUGAAAUUCGUAGAUAUUCUGAGGAACACCAGUGGCGAAGGCAGCUCUCUAGACCUUUACUGACGCUGAGGUGCGAAAGCGUGGGGAGCAAACAGG
rnacentral:rRNA from 1 species